rnacentral:lncRNA from 1 species
UAGGCUGGUAGAGAAACACAAUAUACAAAAAAAUACAUUUAUUUGUGUAUAGUGUUUUUUCUGGCAUUGUAUGAACUGCCAACUGUAAGUAAUUUAUUGAUAUUUCAACUGCAGACAAAAAGAGCAGUUGGCUGGAACCGGAUCAAAGGAAUAUGAUUGACACCGUCAUCCAUGUUGUCCAAAGUAGGUGGAUAAUCUACAAGAAUUAAAGAUUGCGUGAGAAGUCGGUGCAGAUAGAAGAAAUUACCUGGACCCUUUGCGGUCAGAAUGGGUUCCUGUGAGUCCCAUGCCAAGAGGAAGUGGAACAGGGAGGAGAAGGCACACGUCACCGGCAGAAGACUUGCAAGAGUAUAAUGCAUCCCAUGUUUCAACCUGUCCAUGAGGAGCCAUUUUGGAAGUCAUAACAUCAACCAUUGCUGUGGAAAGAGACAGCGCUUGCCUGACGUCAGCGGCGACGUGUGGCGACAGGGAUUGUUAAUGAGCCAGAUGUGAAGGCCACUUCCUCGCCAAGUGCAAAGAGAGCAUCAGUUUCUGCAACUGCGAGUGGUCGCAUUUCGCUGCUGACGGAUCCUGCCCGAAAGGAAACACUCAAGGCAAAGCAAACCCAGCUCGAGGAGGCUCUUAUCUCAUGGGAUCGUGAUGUUCAACACAAGGGCUUUCAGGAUCUCUCGGUUCCAAGGUUUUUGCUGUGGUUGGCUAAAGAGAUCUGUUUGGCUCCUCCACAGCAAGCACGACCUUGGCCAUUGUGUGAUACCCUGGCUGUUUUGCGCACACUUUUCGUUGUUGCAGCGAUUCUAACUACUUGCAAUUAGCUUUGGGCCUGUAGCUACUCUUUUCUAUACGAUUUUCUUCGGUAUUAGGAUAACUGGUGAACUGGACCCCAUCUUCGAGGGUGGCAAUCACACACCUCUUCAAAGACCACUCUGGUUUGAAAGUCACGGUAGCCAAACCUGAGCAACUGACCCCAUUUCUCUCUGUCGAAGGCCAAAGAAAGUUUGAUGGAACAGGGACUUACUCCCAUCCCCUCUCCGGAAACGAAGGCUAAGUGCACGGCAAAUUGGGACAUUUAGGGUCCGCCGGCUAAGCCGGCAGAUUACCCCACCUCAGCAAAUAACACGCUCUUGCACAGUGAUCAGUAUAACCAUUGAUUAUGUUACGUUGUCAUUAUCACCUCAAAAAAAUCACAAGCUUACAAUUGCUUUAUCGAUUCAGAUGUGCGGCCUUGCGCACAAAACUGCACCUGUUCAAAGCCAUGGUACACCCAAGCCUCACAUAUGCCCCACACACACGCUCGCAGCACAUACAAACAGACGUAAGCUACAGGUCAUCCAGAAUAUAGCACUCAGGUCUACAAACGUCCCCUUUUUAAACACGAAAACACAUUUGACACUCUACAAUCACCUCAAAUCACAUCCUCUUGAGACAACCUUGAUUUAACCUUUGACACAAACUUUCUUUUUCAUUAGCAUAUUGAGACUAAAUUUGUCAUGACAAGAAAAACCUUAUAUUCGCCUUAGAAGUGCCGUCCCACGUACGAAGCUACAUCUAUACAAAAUACUAAUAAAAACCUCUAACAAGCGCAAACUCCAGCUUGUUCAGAAGAAAGCACUCGGGUGAAUCUAUGCGAUGAGUUGGGAUCAGUUUAUUACAAUAUCUGAACUUCACAAUGAAGCUUCUCUGCUUCCUCUGAAUAUCGAGUGGCGUGGGUUGGGCUCCAAACAGCCAAACAAACUCCGUGCUUGGCAUGUCCACUGGCUGGAUGAACUCAAGCGCAUCAUUCUUUCCAGCUGGAGAUCGGGUUUAGGCCUUGAUCCUUUUUUUUAGGUUUGGCUGCACCCUUGGAAGCCAACUCUUACUCGUUCCUUUCAUCUUCCUUUCCACUUGUAUUUGUUCAUUUCUAUUGUGAAGGGAGUUCAUGACGCUCCUGGACGACGGCGGCUUGCUAUCAUGCAUCGAACGUUUCCCUCACAGCUGAGGACGGCCCUUGCCAACGCUGCACCUUCCACUUGGGUGAAUCC